GACGAACGCUGGCGGCGUGCUUAACACAUGCAAGUCGAGCGGUAAGGCCCUUUCGGGGGUACGACGAGCGGCGAACGGGUGAGUAACACGUGGGUGACCUGCCCUCAGCUCUGGGAUAAGCCUGGGAAACCGGGUCUAAUACUGGAUAUGACUCCAUGACGCAUGUUGUGGGGUGGAAAGCCUUGUGCGGCUGAGGAUGGGCCCGCGGCCUAUCAGCUUGUUGGUGGGGUGANGGCCUACCAAGGCGACGACGGGUAGCCGGCCUGAGAGGGCGACCGGCCACACUGGGACUGAGACACGGCCCAGACUCCUACGGGAGGCAGCAGUGGGGAAUCUUGCGCAAUGGGCGAAAGCCUGACGCAGCGACGCCGCGUGA
rnacentral:rRNA from 1 species